AAAAUCUUUUCCUUUUCUAUUACAAAAAUUAAAAAGCAAUAAAAAUAUUUUGAAAAGGUUUAAGCACACGUGCGACCGUUCGCGUAGGCCUUGUGCUAGAAAACCAUUUCCUUCUUUAUUAAAAAUUCCAAAAUAUUUCCAAACCACAAGUAAUCUUUCUNAAAGAACUACGUAACCCUGAUUUCUCAUUUUGAAUGAGAAUACGUAGNAGCAAGGUCAAUCCUUGUCGGGCCCAAAAAACCAAAAAAUAUUUUUGUUUCUUUCUAUCGUUGUUCUUGGGACAGCUAAACAUUUUGCAAACCAUGUCUUUAUUCGCGCAUUUAAUUAAAGGUACUGCCUUCAGGCAGGCGUUGUAGGGUGCUAACACCUUCCCUANGCGUAACCGANUCCCGAACNCAAUCUUUGGUUUUCGUGGACCGUGUCUUCUCUUUAUGGUUUUUUCCAUAGUUUUCCAGAAUAAACUAUGGUGGCGACUC
rnacentral:lncRNA from 1 species